CACGAACCGUACGAACGUUAUUCGGAAUUACUGGGCUUAAAGGGUUUGUAGGCGGCCAUGUAAGUCAGGUGUGAAAUCCCUCGGCUCAACCGAGGAACGGCGCUUGAUACUGCAUGGCUUGAGGGAGACAGGGGUAAGCGGAACUGAUGGUGGAGCGGUGAAAUGCGUUGAUAUCAUCAGGAACACCGGUGGCGAAAGCGGCUUACUGGGUCUCUUCUGACGCUGAGGAACGAAAGCGUGGGUAGCAAACAGG
rnacentral:rRNA from 1 species